rnacentral:rRNA from 1 species
UUAACCUGGAAUCAAAUAGGGAUACCCGCUGAACUUAAGCAUAUCUA